UUGACCUCAAAUCGGGUGAGACUACCCGCUGAACUUAAGCAUAUCUAUAAGC
rnacentral:rRNA from 1 species